UUCUCUCCUCGGCUUAGCAAAUCUCAUAGGGGCUCCACUCUCUCGAUCCGACCACCGGAACCGUCGUUAGCGUUGCCUUCGACGCCUUCUGCAUCGUUGAGGCAUCUAUUUACAUUUGUUUAUAGGGUUUAGAGAUAUGAACUGGGUUCAACGUAAGAUCUAUCUCUACAAUGUCACCUUCGGACUCUACAUGUUGGAUUGGUGGGAACGUUGCCUUUUCAAUACAUUGGUGAUUGUGUUGAUGUGGUUCGUCUUCUACAAUAGCUCACGAUAUGUAACUGAGUUCUGCAAAAGGCAUUUAUACUAGGGUUGGGAGGUGGCAUUGGCCUGACAGAUUGCAAUGAUGAUGGUAUUGUGAAAUACUUUUGAAUUAUUCAGUUGAAAACCUUUCUUAUAUGUGGAUUUACAUACAACUUUUUAGUAUGGAGUAAACUGGUGCAUGUCUCACAUGUAUUGUUAGACCAUUUUCAAAGCCAUUACUUUCAGAAAUUUUAGAACA